ACAUGCCUACAUCAUAGCGUUAAUGCAUCAUAUCCCAUUAAAACUCCACAGUUAAGCACACUUGAGCUAGAGUAGUACUGUGAUGGGUGACCUCCCGGGAAGUCUUAGUAUUUUACAUUCC
rfam:Picea glauca, whole genome shotgun sequence.